rnacentral:rRNA from 1 species
GCAAUCUAUACGGUGAAACUGCGAAUGGCUCAUUAAAUCAGUUAUCGUUUAUUUGAUAGUACCUUACUACUUGGAUAACCGUGGUAAUUCUAGAGCUAAUACAUGCUAAAAACCCCGACUUCAGGAGGGGUGUAUUUAUUAGAUAAAAAACCAACGCCCUUCGGGGCUUCUUGGUGAUUCAUGAUAACUUAACGAAUCGCAUGGCCUUGCGCCGGCGAUGGUUCAUUCAAAUUUCUGCCCUAUCAACUUUCGAUGGUAGGAUAGUGGCCUACCAUGGUAUCAACGGGUAACGGGGAAUUAGGGUUCUAUUCCGGAGAGGGAGCCUGAGAAACGGCUACCACAUCCAAGGAAGGCAGCAGGCGCGCAAAUUACCCAAUCCCGACACGGGGAGGUAGUGACAAUAAAUACUGAUACAGGGCUCUUUUGGGUCUUGUAAUUGGAAUGAGUACAAUUUAAAUCCCUUAACGAGGAACAAUUGGAGGGCAAGUCUGGUGCCAGCAGCCGCGGUAAUUCCAGCUCCAAUAGCGUAUAUUAAAGUUGUUGCAGUUAAAAAGCUCGUAGUUGAACCUUGGGCCUGGCUGGCCGGUCCGCCUCACCGCGUGCACUGGUCCGGCCGGGCCUUUCCUUCUGGGGAGCCGCAUGCCCUUCACUGGGUGUGUCGGGGAACCAGGACUUUUACUUUGAAAAAAUUAGAGUGUUCAAAGCAGGCCUUUGCUCGGAUACAUUAGCAUGGAAUAAUA